rnacentral:rRNA from 1 species
UACGUAGGGAGCUAGCGUUGUCCGGAAUCAUUGGGCGUAAAGCGCGCGUAGGCGGCCCGGUAAGUCCGCUGUGAAAGUCAAAGGCUCAACCUUUGAAUGUCAGCGGAUACUGCCGGGCUAGAGUCCGGAAGAGGCGAGUGGAACUCCUGGUGUAGCGGUGGAAUGCGCAGAUAUCAGGAAGAACACCAACGGCGAAGGCAGCUCGCUGGGACGGAACUGACGCUGAGGAGCGAAAGCGUGGGGAUCAAACAGG